UUUCCGUAGGUGAACCUGCGGAAGGAUCAUUAAUGAACUCUUAGAUUGUCGCUGGUCAAGUUAAUUCUUGGCAUCGUGCACAUCUUUGUUAUCCAACUACACACUUGUGAACCUAUUGUAGAUCGCAAGAUCUAUGUCUUUCAUCACUUCUUAAACGUAUGUCUCAGAAUGUAAACCAAAUUAUUACAACUUUCAGCAAUGGAUCUCUUGGUUCUC
rnacentral:misc_RNA from 1 species